CAGUUACAAAGUGAGUGGGAAGCUGGGUCUAGUGAGUGGAGAAGCUUCCUUCUCCAACUCAGUGGCUUCCCCUGUGGUUGAUCGCUCCAGGGAGCAAUGGACAACAGAGCCUAAAUGCUGGUGACUCAGAGGCAGUGAACCCCUUGAGUUACAUGAAUAGCUUUUCAUUGAAGAAAUAAAAGGCAGAAGGAAUCUGAUUGUAUAUACUUAUAAUACAUGUAAACAGCAAUUGAAUGGAUAUUCAUUUUUGGAAGACUUACAAUCUCAUGUCAUUAUGAACAAUCACAGAAUGUGCAGCACACAGUUGGUAUUUAUGGUUCCAUUCUCCAGCAGAGAGAACAUUUUGGCUUAUGACAGUAUAUGUUAUGAUUACAAGCAUGAGUUCUGGAGUCAGAUACAACUGGGCAUCAAGAUCCAGCAAU
ensembl:lncRNA